UCGAUUAAGAUGAAUGGUGCCAAGUUUAAUAGGUCUAGUCUGCUAUUUGACAACCAGCUAAAGGUCUUAUGGACUCAUAGUCUGCUGUGGCACGAGAGAUGUUUGGUGUUCCCUCUUGGUUGGGCCAAUAACUCCUAAUAACUUAAAAGUUUUUCACAUGUGAUAUUCUUCUUCGAUUGGAUAUGAUAGAAAACAAUUAUCUCGUAAUAACUUAAAUGCAAAGUAUAAUUGCAAACAACCAGGCACAUCAAAAUUUCUUCUAUCAAUUGUUCACACCAAAAAAAGAAUAAUAUAUUCUACCAACAUGAUGUUAUCCAACUGUAGUAGUCAAAGAAAAUACUUGUGCUAAGCUAUUCAUCUCAUCAUCCACCAAAAUCAUAUCUUCCCAAAUUGUGAGCUCCA
rnacentral:lncRNA from 1 species